UUGACAGUGGUGGGAUUCGAACCUAUUUCACUCCAGAACUGCGUCGCGCCUUAUACGGUGCGGCAAGUGUGACGUCAUUCGAACAAACCAUAGGCCCCGCCCCCGGACGCAGCCACGCCCACAGGCUCCUGAAACCACCACUCCCAGCUGUGACAGCGCUCAGGACCGAUGCUCAUAGGUCCCGCCCCCGGGAUCCCCGCCCCCUCGGCCCGCGCCCCGCCCCUCGCAGCCCAGUUCCGGAACCCGCGGGCCCAGCCGCGCCUGCGCCUCCGCUCGUGCGUGGCUGCGUCGCGCGCUCUUACUCGGAGCUGCAGAGGCGGCUGGUGUGCCGCAAGCUCCGCGCCGACCCCUGACCCCUGUCCCCGGCCGGGCAUGAGCCGCUACCUGCUGCCGCUGUCGGCGCUCGGCACGGUAGCAGGCGCCGCCGUGCUGCUCAAGGACUAUGUCACCGGUGGGGCUUGCCCCAGCAAGGCCACCAUCUCUGGGAAGACGGUCAUCGUGACGGGCGCCAACACAGGCAUUGGGAAGCAGACCGCCUUGGAACUGGCCAGGAGAGGAGGCAACAUCAUCCUGGCCUGCCGAGACAUGGGGAAGUGUGAGGCGGCGGCGAAGUACAUCCGUGGGGAGACCCUCAAUCACCACGUCAACACCCGGCACCUGGACUUGGCUUCCCUCAAGUCCAUCCGAGAGUUUGCAGCGAAGAUCAUUGAAGAGGAGGAGCGAGUGGACAUUCUAAUCAACAACGCGGGCGUCAUGCGAUGCCCCCACUGGACCACCGAGGACGGCUUCGAGAUGCAGUUUGGCGUUAACUACCUGGGUCACUUUCUCUUGACUAACUUGCUGCUGGACAAGCUGAAAGCCUCAGCCCCUUCGCGGAUCAUCAACCUCUCGUCCUUGGCCCAUGUUGCUGGGCACAUAGACUUUGAUGACUUGAACUGGCAGACGAGGAAGUACAACACCAAAGCCGCCUACUGCCAGAGCAAGCUGGCCAUCGUCCUCUUCACCAAGGAGCUCAGCCGGCGGCUGCAAGGUUCUGGUGUGACUGUCAAUGCUCUGCACCCCGGCGUGGCCAGGACAGAGCUGGGCAGACACACAGGCAUCCAUGGCUCCACCUUCUCCAGCUCCACACUUGGGCCCAUCUUCUGGCUGCUGGUCAAGAGCCCCGAGCUGGCCGCCCAGCCCAGCACAUACCUGGCCGUGGCGGAGGAACUGGCAGAUGUUUCGGGAAAGUACUUCGAUGGACUCAAACAGAAGGCCCCGGCCCCCGAGGCCGAGGAUGAGGAGGUGGCCCGGAGGCUUUGGGCUGAAAGUGCCCGCCUGGUGGGCUUAGAGGUUCCCUCUGUGAGGGAGCAGCCACUCCCCAGAUAACCUCUGGAGCAGAUUUGAAAGCCAGGAUGGAGCCGCAAGACUGAGGACAGCUUUCCGCCAUGCCCGCAGCUUCCUGGCACUACCUGAGCCAGGAGACUGAGGACUGCCUGGCUGCCACGCCCGCAGCGUCCUCUAGGGGGCAGUGCUGGCACCACCUGAGCUGGGAGACCCAAGACUGGCGGCCGCCAUGCCUGCAGCGUCCUCUAGGGGGCAGUGCUGGCACCACCUGAGCUGGGAGACCCAAGACUGGCGGCCACCAUGCCUGCAGCGUCCUCUAGGGGGCGGUGCUGGCACCACCUGAGCUGGGAGACCCAAGACUGGCGGCCGCCAUGCCUGCAGCGUCCUCUAGGGGGCGGUGCUGGCACCACCUGAGCUGGGAGACCCAGGACUGGCGGCCGCCAUGCCUGCAGUAUCUUCUAGGGGGCGGUGCUGGCCGCAGUGGACUGGCCUGCAGGCUGCUGCUGUAGCGGAGUGUCACCCUGAUUUCCAGCCCCGCAGCACACAGUCGCACAGUGAGACCCUGCCUGGCGUGAUUCAGAGGCAACAUAUUUCCCAAGGUGGCUGUGAAGGAACCGGAGGGAUAAACACAGCCCGUGAACCGCAAGCCAGAGGACAGGUCCAGCUGGCUGCUGCUGAGUCAUCACAGCGUGUUGUGUCUGAGCACUUCUCCAAACUACCCAAGUGGCACCCGGGGCGACAUUUACAUCAUCUUGAGUACAAUUCUCUCAAGGAAAAAGCGAGCACAGCAUCUUCUGCCAUGGCAACCCGGGCUUGGAGCCUCAUAGGAGAGAAGGCCCUAAGAAUACCAUUUUCUUGCUCUAAGUUGUUCUUAUGGGAAAGAAGUGAUAAUAUUCUUCCUAAAUGCCAUCAUUCGUGCAUCUUUCCCACCUACAUGUGUCACCGGAUCAUUCCCUGCCUGGGCGGGGCCGUCCUGUGCACUGCAGAAUGCUGAGCAGUGUCCUUGGCUUCAACCGACCAGAUGCCAGGAGCACCCCAAUUUCUGCCAUCGGAUGACUGAGUUCACUGUUGCAUUUGAUUUUUUAUGUAUCUUUUAAAAAGGACCCAGUAGGGCCAGGCACAGUGGCUCACACUUGUAAUC